rnacentral:lncRNA from 1 species
AUAAUUUGAUGACUCCAUGCAUAGAUGGGCCCCACUUUACUCCCAACAACAUCGUCUGUCCUUAAAUAGGCUGUUCGUGUUGUGGGAUCAGCAUCUUAGUGUGAACGUGAGACUUUUAACACAAGGAAUUUCUCCCCUUUGAUCAGGAACCAUAUAUCCCAAAAAUUAAAACAUUGUUAUAAAUCUAGUGAGAAAAUGGAGAGGAAAUUGAGAGAGAGAGAAGAGAAUGUUUUCUCAUUCAUUAUUGUCAUUUCUCUUAGUAUUAUCAAUCUGAUAUCUAUAGGCAAGGAAAUGUGAUGCCCGUGAAUGUGCAAUAACUUCAUGCACCAAAUAGUAAGUGGGCUCCACCUUCUUGACUUUUACAACACUCCCCCUUGGAGACCACAAAUGAUAUGGAAUAUGCCUCGUUAAAAACCUUGCCAGUAAAAACCCAGUGGGAUAAAAAAAAACUGGUCAAAGGGAAAAAGAGUACAUAAUGAUGUGUAACAUAAAAUUCUGUGUAUAUUGACGCGCGUGCGACACUGCCUCAUUAAAACCUUGCCAGGAAAAACCCAGUGGGAUAAAAAACUGGACGAAGGAAAAAGAGUACAGUGUUUGAAGAUCUUUAUUGAUAGCACGCUCCCCCUGAUGCUUGGCAAAAUAUCUUUGAGUCAAACUGGUUAUCACCUUUCUGGAUAUCGUAGUUGACACUGCUUCUGUGAGUCAAUUGUGAGCGACACUGCCUCGUUAAAACCUUACCAGGAAAAACCCAGUGGGAUAAAAACCUGGAUGAAGGAAAAAGAGUACAGUGUAUGAAGGUCUUUAUGAAAACCAUGCUCCCCCUGAUGAAUAUCUCCCCCGGAAAAAUUUAGGACUAGCUUUUGUCCAGGAAGCGACCAUAAAAAUUUCCAAAGUCUGCAUAUCUAAUAACACUUGGGCUAUUUGUAAGUUCACUCAAAAAUAUGCCCGUAUAUGGUGUUAUGCUGAGAUAGCAUCAAAUAUACCUCACAUCAUCCCAAAAUGAUGGUGAUGGAGUUGAGCUCUAUCUGGAAAAUACGAUGUACGGUCCAUUAUACUUCUGGAAAAUCUGUAAAGUGUCCAACGGAUAAUCCUCAUAAAAAUGCUUCAAUACUUUCUUAGUAUAAGCAAGAAUCUCGUUGGCAUAAUGCUCGAUCGAGACAAAUAUUUCAUGAAUUCUGCAGAAGCUUUAAUGUGUUGCAAUCACAUGAUAAUCAAUGUACUCACUGAGGUAAUUUAUGCAUAUUAAUAUUGAGUACAAAUUUUGUGCUUCAAGCACAUGUCCUUUAGGGACUUGCUUUAUGCAAUGUCAAUCCUCUCAACGGAUUUUGUUUAAAAGGGGAUUAAACUUUAUGACACAUUAUAUAGCUUUAACCCAGCUAUUUAUACAUCUUUAGGGAAUCACUUCAGGUGAUAUGCUCUGUGCAUUUAAUAACCCUUAAAGAUAACAUGUUGGUCUCCGUAAUUGUGCAGUAAGGGGGGAGGCACAAUUGAAUCUGUAAAUAUGAAAAGACCCAACAUUCAUUGUUUCUGCCAGAAACAUUGUGUCAUACAAAGUAGGUAUAUUCCCUUUUAUUCCGAACACCCAAGUAUAAAUUUCAAUAUGAACAUCUUUUGGGGUUCGUCCUGUGGGUUUGUUCUUUCACGUUCAUUCUCAUCUAUAAUGGAAUUACCUCUUUCCAUUUUGGCCAAUGAUAUUGUCGACAUUUAAUAAUUGAACGUGGUUCCAAUCAACACAGCCCAUUGAUGAUUUGAGUAGCUACUCCAAAACCAAAAAUUGUCAUUCAUCAAUUCAUGAUCCCACCAUUCUCAUGUGCAUACGCAUGCAUCAAUUAUAAGCAUUGCUUUGCUUUUGGGUACCCAAGCCACUUCAUGGGGCUUUUAUUAUGUGGGAAUGUGGAUUAUAACCUCCAUUGGAGCGUUAUUUAGUAGUAGGGCAUGGAUAAUCUCCAUUUAGGGAGUUGGAACAUUUAGAACCCAUAUAUCUGUCAUGCUGCAGGCAUGCCACAGAUUAAUACAUACAUGUCAAUUAGUUUAUGGGGCUUUAACCCAUAUGAUGGGACUUUAACCCAUAUGAUGGGACUUUAACCCAUAUAAUUUGCUACGCAUUCGGCGUGCACAAUAUCAAUAUUGACAUGUCAAAGGAUUGUCCAUUCGGGACUUCAAUCCACAUCAUUUGCUACGCAACAGGCGUGCAUCAUAUUGAUCACUGCUAUACCCAUAUUCUGUUCUUAUGGGACUUUAAUCUGUGCAGUGUAUUAUCAAUGUAUCCAACUUACAAUCUGUUAAAUUUGCAUUAAUAAUUCAUGGAUACAUACAAGCCAUUCUGUUGGAACAGACUUAUCUCCCCAUUUGGUUACCUUGCAAGAUAAAAUAUCAAAUAGGUAUAUAAGCAUAAAAUAACACAAGUAUUGCUUACAUCCUUAGGUGGGAGAAACUUUUCUCAAGUAUCAUUCAAGCGCGUAUCGGCCCAGUAAAAAUAUCGCUUGAUGAUCUUGUUAUAUCCUGCAAGAGCAAAAAUCACAAUUCUUUUCUCUGUCAAAAACAAAUAACUCUCAGAGUUAGGAUCACUAAGUAUAGAGAAAACUGGAUGUCUUCUGCAAAGAAAAUUUCGUUAGUAACACAUUUAUACACAAAUACAAUGAAUAGGUAGAACCGGUGAAUUUCAAAUUAACCAUAGGAAAAUUGCGAGAUUCUCGGGAUACUUUUGAAAAAGUAGCUCCGUGAAAUCCGUAAAGCAAGAUCGGCUUUGAAAAUAAUACUUGAAAACGCCGAAAGUGCCGACAGGCAUUAUUAGAGGCCACGUGAAGUUUUGGACUCUAGGAAAGAAAAAGAUAAUAUGGGGAUUCGAGAAGAUAUUGGGGUCCUGAAAAACAGUAGCCAUAUUUCCUCCUAUAGAUAUGGCCGUUGCAAAACUUGAUUGGAGCAACUGCGUUUCAACUCAAAUUUCUUCAUUUUCUGAAACUUUAGUUUUCCUAAGACUUUCUUCGAAACCUUCUCAAAAAUGGCUUCCUCUUCUUCCUGCCCAAAUUAUUUCAAUUUAAAUGAUGCUCCAACAGCAACCAGUGACGCCAAAGUUUGGCAUCCAUCCUUUGUAUCCCAAAAUCGUCAUCUCACAGUUAAUGAUUCUGUGAUGAUGAAUGAUGCUACUGCUGUCAUAGUAGCUAGGAAUUUCAUCACUCCAAUGGAUGAAAUGCUGUUAACAGGGAGGUCUGAGGAAGAGGCUAUUGAUGACUCAAUGGCUUUUAGCAUUCAGAGUGCUGCUUCUGUUUCUAACAUGGCUGAUCGUUUGCGUACUAGAGCAAACGAGGUUGAGAAGCUGACAACUGAAAAUUCGUCUCUUCAAAGAAUGCUUCAUGAGUCUCAACAGGAGGUUGAGAAACUUAAAGGAGAGAAUAAUUCCUUGUUGAAACUGGUGAGUUCGUACUCAGUUGAUACACUGAGAAGGCUAGACAUGCUGCAGGUCUCCAAUGAAAGGAUUUUGGGAGACCACGAGAAGCUCAUGGCUAAGCUUAAGAGGCGCCGUCCUCUUCCUUCAGAGGCUUCUAGAACAUAAUGGAUUUUUAUAGAUUUUACAGGGCCUGCACCUUGAUUGCAGGUGGAAAAAUCUAUCUGUUAUAUGUUCCUGUAAUAAUAAUAGCGCACAUUCUAAAACUUGCACCUGUGGUUUUUACGUCUUUUCAAAAUGACGGUUUGGAACCUUGUGCCUUAUAGGUUCAAAUAACCACAUCAAAUCUCUCAAAUUACAUAUUUCCAUGCAUGUGAGCCCGGAACUUUUGGCCUGGGCACAAACUCAGAAUUGAUUUGCCCUUUUCAAAUGAAAUAUGAAUUGAGUAAAAGCCAUGAUAAUAUCGCAAUAUAGUAGUGAAGAGCAUUAACUACUAUAUACCCACAACUUCAAGUUCAGGAUCUCUCAUAUAUUUGGAUCCAUGGGCUUCCGGCCCAGAUAUAAUAAAAUAUGUGGGGAGCCUCAAUUCAUUAUUUGAGGUUUAUAUUGAUAUUAUCCAUUUCGCGGUGUAUUCUUAACAACCGGAAUUCACAAAGUAUAUUUCUUCCUUGAGGUGUCGAUUAUAACAAAAUCGAACUUUAUUAAAUUCAUCAUCUUCUUAUGCCAAAGAAAUAUGUGGCAUACCACAAUUUGCAAUAAUACCUCAAGGGUUGUCCAUUUAAUUGUUGGAACUUCAGGUUCUCAACACUGUUAAAUUUUGAACUUCAGGCCAAAAUCACAUAUUCUCAUGGUAUGGACAUUUUUACAAUUUUCUGUACAUAUGUCUGGACUUCAAGCCCUUACAUAAUUGUCCAUAUUUUGAGGAACUUCUGGCAUCUCAUUUAAUUGCUCAUCCAUGAGUUUAAGGAACUGCAGGUUCCCUUUUUGAAUAUAGUGACGAUUUACCCAAAAUGGUUAAUAUUUAUGUAUACGUCACUAUUCAUGUGAAUAGUACUAUUCAUCAAGUCAUGAAUACGUAUCUAUUCAUCUGCCAGUACAGUUAUCAUCCAUGUGUACGGCAUUAUGAACCAAUACGGUACUGUUACAUCAUUAAGGAACUCCAGGUUCUUAUUUACAUGUCAGGGAUCAAGGACCCUCAAGUCCGAUCACAUGUUUACAAAUACAGUACCGGAGAGACUGCCAGCUCUCAUUUUAAUAUCAUCAUCAAGGAUCUUCAAGUCCUGAUAUAAAUUGUAUGAUGAGGAUCAAGGAACUUCUGGUCCUGAUCUGCAUACUGUAAAAACUCAUCAUACAGCACAAUUAAUCCAUAAAAUAAAUUACUGGUAAAUAAAUUACUGGUAUGGACGAUAAACCCGCACCAUACUUUAAAUAAAAGUAAAUGUGCAGUAAAGUAAAUUCAUAAAGUAUGAGGGUCAAUUCUCAUCAUACUUUAAGGAAAAGGUAAAUUUGCGAUAAAGUAAAGGCAAUUAUUGGUGGGUUCUUAUCAACACCACGAUCAAAUAAUAUAUAUGAUGUCAUCUGGAAUUGCCUCCCCUUUUUUUUUCUUCGGUGGAAUUCCUCUCAAAGCUAGAGGAAAUAGGAAACAAUAUAAUAUUAUUACAUUAAUAUAUGUAAUUAGAAAAGUUGAGACAAACCAUAGUGCUCGUCAACCUUCACGUUUGUCUCCUCCCCUUUUUUUGUCUUCGGUGGAAUUCCUCUCAAAGCUAGAGGAAAUAGGAAACAAUAGAAUAUUAUUACAUUAAUAUAUGUAAUUAGAAAAGUUGAGACAAACCAUAGUGCUCGUCAACCUUCACGUUUGUCUGCUCCAUAAUUUCGUAAAUAAAAUUGAUGAACAUGAACCUGCAGAAGUUCCUCCUGUACACCUCCACUUGCUUUUUAUGAUCAAUAUAAUUGUAUAAUAUUAAAGGUAAAAUAGGAUAAAGAAAAACAGAGAACUUAUCUCUUUUCCUCAGACCCACUGCUUCCACUUGCCUGACAAAAACUAUUCCAACUUAUAGAUCUGACUUAGACCUUUACUUCUGCCGACAGUUAUGAACUGUUUCAUCCAGUUCCUCCAUGUCUGAGUGCUGCGCAGAAGAGAGCAAGUUCCAGUGGGAGAGUUGCGCCCCCAACUCAAAUUCCAAGGUGGCCAAUGACUCGGCAGAUAGGAGAGGAAGGUAAGAGAGAGUCUCGAACUUCUUCAAUCCAAUUAGAGACCACUCUCUCUUUCUCUAAGCUUCAGAAGCCGCGAUUCCAAGACCUCGCCGUUUAAGCUCACGGUUCCUUCCAAGCUUCCCUUCGCGAUCCGAUUCGCCAGAGCGUCAACGACUUGCCCGACCCGCUCGCGCCGAGAACCGCGAGUAUCUCUCCUUCCCGAGCUUCUCCAGAGAUGUCGUUGAGCAGCGUCUUCGUUCUUGUGAACAGGCCAUUGACAAGAUUCCCUUGUGCCUCCUUGUUAUUGGAAGCAGAGGCCUUGGCAAGCUCAAGAGGUCUCAGCUGGGUUCGUCGGAAUUGCCACCAGUUCCGAUCGGUGAAACCAGUUUUUCCGGCUGCUGUCUGAGAUUGAUCUGCUGAUUGUAGUAGUGGUGGUCCUUGUGGUGGCUGAAGAAGGCGGAGGCCGGAGAUGAAAAGCUAGAGCUGGGUAUGGAUCCGAUUCUGCAAACGGUGCUUCAAGAGGAACUUGAAGAACACGCUGUAGAGCUUAACAGCUACGCUUGGUAUUUCUCUCUUUUUACCGAAGUCCCAUCGUGCUUGUAUAAGUUUGGUCUAUCUUUCAACUUUUCACAUCUAUCUGCUAUGUUUUGUGUGAAUAUGAAUUCGACUCUGUGAUAGAUAUGAAAUCAAUUUCAUAGAGAAUCCAGUGAAAAUUGCUUGCUUGUUGUGUGGCCUGUCAGCUCUGUAGGGAGUAGAAUUGGUUGAGAAAUGAGAGGAGGGCACAUGAGAGAAGACCCAGGAACCACGUCCGGAAUUGGUCUAACUCUUCCCGCUGGUGUUUGAUUUGGGUAGCCAAGUCCUCUGUUAAAAACAGAGAACAAAGCUGAAGAUUGUUGUUGCAGAGAGAAAAGAAGGAUUGAAGGUGAGAUUUCAGUGGCAGCUGAAGUUUCUGAUUUGCAAGAGAGAUCGAACAAAUCUAUGAGCAAACUUGGUUCUGCAGGAUUUGAUCGAAUUUCUCAGCUGGUAUUUUAGAGAUAUUCGUGCUGAUAACGUGUUAUAAAUCUAGUGAGAAAAUGGAGAGGAAAUUGAGAGAGAGAGAAGAGAAUGUUUUCUCAUUCAUUAUUGUCAUUUCUCUUAGUAUUAUCAAUCUGAUAUCUAUAGGCAAGGAAAUGUGAUGCCCGUGAAUGUGCAAUAACUUCAUGCACCAAAUAGUAAGUGGGCUCCACCUUCUUGACUUUUACAACAAACAUAUAUAUAC